rnacentral:rRNA from 1 species
UACGAAGGGGGCUAGCGUUGCUCGGAAUCACUGGGCGUAAAGCGCACGUAGGCGGCUUCUUAAGUCAGGGGUGAAAUCCUGGAGCUCAACUCCAGAACUGCCUUUGAUACUGGGAAGCUUGAGUCCGGAAGAGGUGAGUGGAACUCCGAGUGUAGAGGUGAAAUUCGUAGAUAUUAGGAAGAACACCGGUGGCGAAGGCGGCCCACUGGAUCGGUACUGACGCUGAGGUGCGAAAGCGUGGGGAGCAAACAGG